ensembl:snoRNA small nucleolar RNA, C/D box 6
AGGUGUUAUGAUGAUUGGCGUAAUAUGUUCAACUGCUCUGAAGUGUGAUUGACAGCUGCCUCUCUGAACAGCA